AUAUAAUUCUUGUUGUGUGUUCAGCAGUUAUUGAAGAAAGAACAGUUUGCCAUUUUGAAUAUUUUCAAUUAUGUGUAAGGUACUCAAAUGAGCGUCCAUUAAUGCAGAUUAAGAUGUACUCGAAUCUGGGCUCAGAAAUGUAUAGAAUAUAAAAUAUAAAAUACAAUCAGUGUACGUAUAUGUACUUGUAGUAGAAUUGCAACAAAAGCUGCCGUUAAUGCAACUCAGGAAGUGCAUCAGAUUUCUGACGACGACAAUUGCGGCUACUACUGGAUUCACUUAACUAAGUGUUAUUGUGCUCUGAUUAAUCUAUGUAUAUUCUAAUUUAGAUGAUGAAUGCAUUCAGGCAGCUGUUUAUUGUACUUUGUUUGCGCAUCUUGCGCCGACAAAUUGUUGCACAUACGAGUACGAGCUUGUGCCCCGAACCCUGGCAUUUUCUGCUUUUUUGACAAGUACUUGACGCUUGCCCCAGUAGUAGCUGCAGCAGCGGCAGCAGAGCAGCAGAAGCAGCACUCAUAACCGAGAGCAGCGACAUCGCAGCGGCACAAUAAGACUGCUUCUGCACAUUCGCAUUGUGUGUAUUUUUAUUCGUUUAAAUUCAAUUGACUUUGAAUGCUCCAGCAAUGAAGGCAACAACACACACAGGGCACGGACAGGGACAGAGCCGGAGCCGGAGCAGAUGCGACGUGGCCGUUGUCGUCUGUCACGGAGUAAAUUUGAACGCUGUCGGCGAAUACGGGCAUCGGGCAACGGAAAACGAAUGAGGGUCAAUUAAGCCAAUUUAAAUUUAAUAAACUUAUGUAUUAUGUGCAAGAGGUUACUAGCCAUAGCAAUAUGCCAUCCGUAUAUGACUUGCAAUGAUACAUCUACACAUCUACAUACAUAUAUGACUACCCGUACAUACACAGGCAAACGAAGACCCGAAGUGAAGGGGCAAUAAUACUCGUAUUUUUCUAUUUUUGGGGAGGGUAGUACUCGUAUUUGACGGAGAAGGAGAAGGAGAUUGGAUACAGAUGCAUGACACAGCUGCCACAGAAGGUUAAGUAUCGUUUAUAGAUAUUAAUAACUCAAAACUAAACGAUGAAGUGCAUAGUUCAGAAUACAUUACACAACGGACGGAUGCUUCGAGCUGUCAAUUGUGAGGGAUGCUGUGAUGCUGUCAUUCCCAUCGAUCCAACGAUCCAGCAGAAGAACCCAUUCUAUCAUUGCAGAUAUCAGAUCAGAACAGCAGUUCAAGGAGGGGUCACGGCACGGGAAAUGAACAGGCACGGGAGAUCACGGGUGUACUUCUUGGCAGAAACUCUCUAGCAUACAUACAUACAUACAUAUUUAUAAGUACAUAUAAUGUAUACCAUCCUCCCGCUGGAGAGGUGUCCGAUCCAGGUGGGGAAGAACACCGCAGAAUAAUUCAGGCGAGGAAUCCCAUCUCGGAUCUCGCCGAAGAUGUACACAUAUGUGGUGGCCUUGCAAUUGUUCUAUAUUAUAAAUGCUUAAAUUACUCCUAGAUGGGGCAACAACAUACAUACUCGUAGAAGCGAACAACAUAUAUCCCUCACCAUUAGUUAUGAUCUAUGUAUAUAUGUACAGUUGUCGAGUAGAUUUCACGGAGAAUUUUCUAUGUGCUGUUCUGUUCAGUUCUUCCGUGCGUUACCAUUUUGAGUCCUUGACAAGCGAGCUCUAGCAUGCUUCUAUAUGUGUGUUUAAUCAUGUAUGUACAUUGCACUUAGACCGACACUUAGGGCUACUUAGGCCUAGAUAAAUACAAGUAUGUGGUAGCUACACUUAAACACUUCAGUUAAUCAAAUUGAAAAUCAAUAGGUAAUACUUUUAUAGAGGAUAUGGACAUGAUAUUCUCACAAAUGCGACUCCCGCAGAACUCUGCCGGGUCUGGAAGAGUGCAGGUCCUGUUUAGAUUAAAUGGAUACAAGUUUAUAUGUUUAUUUAUAUAUCAUGGCGUAAAUUAGUUGCAAUCGGUUUGCUCAGUUUUGCUCAGGGUUUGGCGCGCAACAUUUACCUCGACCUCGACCUCGAGACCGAGACCGAGACCCCGUCCGGGGAAAGCGGGUUAGCUUAGCCUUAGCCUGGUUCAAGCAAUGUUAGGCGGGAGCACAGUUCUUUUAGGAUGUCUGGCGAUAUGUUAAGUUGACAGCGUGUUUGGAACCUCAUGUCGGAAGAAACAUAUAUACAUAUAUGUUGGGUUGGGGACAUGGGGUGCGGAUAUGGCAGUGGGUAUAAAGAUAAACGAUAUGUUCUUUAGAAGUUUUUUCGUUCGUUUCUGAUCUACCAGAAUGUUUCGGUUUCUGUUUCUGUUUCCGUUUCACUUUCGAGGGAGUUUUUAGUUGCAGAUUCAGCUUUAGGUUCGGUUCAUGGGAUUAGACUUAGGUACAACAACAGAUGACAA
rnacentral:misc_RNA from 1 species